CAGAGGAACGAGGCCCCCUCAACUCCUCUCUCUCGAUCUGUUUCCUAGGGUGUGAACGCCACCGCCGUCGCCGAUCCCAUCUUCCCCGGCGACAUGCCUCGCCGGCGGCCUCCUCUCUCCCAUCCACGCUGGCGACCUCCCUCUACCCCGCCCUCUCCGUCAACCCGUCUCUCCAGCAGCUCGGGCGAAACCCUAGCCCACCCGAUGCCAUGGCGACCUAGCAGGCAGGCGGGACGAGCCCUGCCCGGCCAUGGCGACACCGCCGGCGACCUCCUCCUCCCCCUCACCUUCUCUCCCUCUCCCAAGGGAGGGAAGGGAAUGGAAGGGAUCCGGCGGCAAGGGGAGGCAGCGCCCAGAUCCGCAGUCGCACCGGCGGGCCGCCGUCCCUCGAGGUCGUCCAUGGAGGUCCGACCCGGCUGCAGCCAUGGACUGAGACGCCCGAAACCCUAGCUACCCGUGGAGGUUCGACGCCUCAACCUCCAAGGAAAGGACGCGCGCCGGCUGCAGGCCAUCUCCGGCGACCUCUGACCAUGGUUGCUCGGAUCUGGACCAGCUGCUGCUCCUACUGCUUCAGGUGGAUGAGGACGAGCCCUCCCUCAUGGCUGUUGCGGCUGCCUACUCCCUCCUCCUACCCCCUGGCAUGGUGUGUGAACAAAGGAAUCCUUGCGCCAAGGAGAAGCAAAACUCUCGCUGUUUCUUGUAUUCACCGUACCGUAGGAAGAAAUGUCCAAGGUAGUCAAAAUUUAUUGGGGAUACCCAUGCCUGCAAUUAGAUUGCAAUACAUAUUUUUUAUGACAGUUGAAUGGCGCUCAAAUCUGUGUGCUAAAAGUAGCUCAAUGGUGUUUACCUGAAUGAGUGCCCACAAUGUCUAGUAGAGGUGUGAUGCUAAUCUGAAGGUGUUUGUUUCAGUCUAAGGCAAGGAAGUUUUAGAGU